GACGUCAUCUGCAGGCCCUGGAGACGCGACUGCAGUUACCGAGUUUCUAAGGCCUCGUCCCCUGACGGGAAGGCGGCGCUGGGGGGCGGCUGGGUUUACCCUUCGAGAGUCCGUGUGAGAACCGGGACACCUGUCCUGUUGAAAAGGGGGACGCAAAAGCUGAAAAUGCCCGGAAGGAUAUGGCUUCCUUGAACUGCGGGACGUGUAGCUGCAGCUGUGGGGUGGACCAUGGAAACAGAUCAGCAGGAAGAAGAGAUGGAAGCAACGCCAUGGACCUUCACGUCCUUCAGAGUGUGGGUGGGCUUUGGCUUUGCAGUGAGAGCAAGUAUCACCCAGGAUGGAGAUGGGAGGUAAUGGGUGGCCCCGACAGGUGCCUCCUACUGCUGGCAGCAAGGAGAGAGUGAAGAGGCAGAAUUUCCUUGGUCUAGACUAGUGUCUGGGUCAUGGGCAUGGCAGUGCUUGAGCUUUUGACCAGAAGCAAGUGGACAUGGAUUUGAGCUUCGGGUAAGAAGGGAGACUUCUCUCCAGGGACCAUAGGGGCUGGCAGCUGAAGAAGGUGACUUGGCCCCUCUCUAGAGGGUGAACGCAGGAUCAAUUCAAGGCCAUGAAGUGGAUGCAGCUGGGAGAGCCUGCUUGGUGCUUUUAAACCUCAACAUGUCCACCGCAAAUACCUCAAACACUGCUCACACCGUGGUAAAAUCUAGUUGCGAAAUCUGUCCUGCGGCAGCCUUCUCCAUCCCAGGCGCCCAGGCCCCAUCUCCUGGGAGCAGGCAGCUCUCCCGACCCCGCUUCAUGCCCCUCCUACAGCCCAAGGCAACUCCCUGCAACCUUGGUGAAUGAAGCACAUCCUGCUGCCCAGGCUCCUGAGCUGUUUGCCGUGUUGCGGAGAUGCAGCCUUCAGCCUUGGAUACCCACCCACUCCUCUACUUGGGCGUUGUUUUCACAGGCUGCUCUUCCCUGUAGCUUCAGAGAAGUAGGUCAAGUAGGUUAACUCGCUUUAAGGGAGAAGUGCCAGGGGUUCAAGUCACCCAGCCUGGAGGCAGGAAUCCUGGGUUCUAUUUUUGGCUUCACAGCUAAUCUGCUGUGUGACAGUCGUUAGGAGCUCAUUCUCCCCUCUGGGUCUCCCUGAGCCCUUCUCUAGGUCCCACAAUUUUUUUUUUUCCCCUGAAGCUAUAUUCCCUGGACUGUCAUAUUCUUCCCUCUUCCCUCCCUCUGGGAGGUGCUUUAAAGCCGUUGGCUGCUCAAGGCUGGCGCCCUGGGCAAGAGGGGCUGCAGUUGUUGUAGCUGAUGAGGAGGAGAUAAGAGGCUUUUCUGUAGACACAGUUGAGCUGAUGGGCUGUGUGAGGCUGGAGUGCCAGGAAACCAGACUCCUGUAACUACAGGACAGGCCCUGGUGAUGUGAUGAUGGGGAUGUGACGGGGAUGCUGAAGCCCGGAAUGCGAGUGGGGGUUCCUGCGUUUUAUGCAAUGGCUGUAGAUUUCCUCCCACUUCUAAGCCUCCCUUUCUGUGACACGCAGGGAAAUUCAGUCUCUAGUUCAUAUGGAAACUUGGGACUUCACUGUGCUGCUUGCUCUUGGCAGAGGAUAUCAUUUGAGCUGUCACAGCAGAGGACCACAUUUACCAGGGUGCACUUUGGCCAAAGAAUAGUAACCUUUCUAAGGCUUAGUUCCUCUGGCCUGACCAAACCAGUCCCAGGAGGCCCCUGGGUUCCAGUCAAGGUCAUGGGAGAGGCCCACCAUGGAUGAGGCCUGGGGGAGCAGGGUGGAAAUUAAGUGCCCAGGUAUGGUAUGGAUAGCCUGCAGCCCUCUCCAAUCCCUACCCUCCAAACCCAGUGAGGGGGGACAUGAAACAGGUGAGGCAGAGGAGCAAAUGCGGGUCAAGAAUUCCGAACUCUACUUGACUUACAGUGCAGCUGUGAUGUGCACAUUGGUGUGUGCCACGAGACAGCAUAGUGUGGUGGAAAGAAAAUGGGUUUUGAACAGAGUGUCCUGGGUUUGAAUCUCUGCUUGCCCAUGUACUAGAGAGUAGUCGAACCUCUCUGGGCCUCAAUUUCCCAGAUGUAAAAUGGGAAUAGUAGUACUUACCUUGCACGGGUGCUGAGAGAAUUCCAUGAGACGAGACAACCUGUGUAAAGUGCCUGGCAUAGGCGCAUCACAUUAGGGCACUCAGUAAAUGUGAUGUCUUUUCUACUUGCCUUCCUGUCAUACCUGUCCCCAUGUUUUGGAUUUCUGCAGCUAAAGUUAAGAAGCUUUUUAAGACAGGAAUCCCAAUUCUCACUUUGCCUCCUUUUCAUAGCUCACCUAAAUGGCUGACUUCUGUUCAGCACCUCUUCAUGGGUGCACUAUUCUGGAGAGCGAGAUCCUAGAGUUCCGACCUUCUGUUUGUUUUUUUUUUUUGUUUUGUUUUUUGUUUGGUUUGUUUGUUUUUGAGACAGAGUCUCGCUCUGUCACCCAGGCUGGAUUGCAGUGGCGCGAUCUCGGCUCACUGCAACCUCCGCCUCCCAGUUUCAAGCAAUUCUCCUGCCUCAGCCUCCCAAGUAGCUGAGACAACAGGUGCCUGCCACCACGCCCAGCUAAUUUUGUAUUUUUAGUAGAGAUGGGGUUUCACCAUAUUCACCAGGCUGGUCUUGAACUCCUGACCUUGUGAUCCACCCACCUCGGCCUCCCAAAGUGCUGGGAUUACAGGUGUGAGCCACCAUACCUGGCCAGCCCUUCUGUUCUAGACUGUGAGCCCGAAGACUGCAUUCUCUCCCAGGCUCAGUUUCCUCACAUACAUAAUGCCACCAUGAUCAACUUCUACAGCACCAUUUCCUGCAUAUAUUUUGUCUAAACACCUUGACUGCACCUCAGAGAAGCUGGGUAUGGGCCAGAUUCCUUUGCCAUUUAAUGCAUACAGCCCAGAGAACAAUGUUGUCUGCUGAGCCCCUGGCGGACAGCAGAGAAUUGGAGCCUCUUUUCAUGGUUCUCACAGGCCAUGUGACACACAGAUGGGAGAAGCUGGCAUCUGCAGGGCCAAAGGCCUCUGGCCAAGGCACCCAUACCAAAGGGGACAGACUGGCCAAAGCAGCCUUAUCCCUGUCUCCUUAGGAACCACAUUCUAGUGGGAUCUGUUUGGUGAUACAGGUUGGGAGCAUGGUGGGGAGGCCUACCCCAGGCCUGAUUGAGUCAUGAGGAUCCAGGAGCACCCUCCAAUGGCUGGUGUUAACUACAGUUGCCAGAUAAAACUUAGGUGGAAUCUGAGUUUCAGAAAACAAACAAAAAAUGUUUUUAGUAUGUCUCACAUACUGCCUGGGGCGUACAUUACAAAUCAGUCCUUAUAUAUUUGAAACUCAAAUUACAUUGGGCAUCUUGUAUUUUUAUUUUUUUUGAGACAGAGUCUCACACUGUUGCCCAGGCUGGAGUGCAGUGGCGCGAUCUCGGCUCACUGCAACCUCUGUCUCCUGGGUUCAAGUGAUUCUCCUGCCUCAGCCUCCUGGGUAGCUGAGAUUACAGGCACCUGCCACCAUGCCCAGCUAAUUUUUGUAUUUUUAGUAGAGACAGGGUUUUGCCAUGUUGGCUAAGCUUGUCUGCUAACCCUAGAGCUGACAGGAAGGCUUUUGGGUUGGGCGGUUUUAUGGGGAAAAUUCUCUAUAACAGCAUUUUUCCUUUACUCUCACAUCACAACAAUCAACGCAGAAGAGUUAUGACCAAAUGUCGGGGCGGGGUGGGGGGGCCGUUUCCCCACACAUCAAGCAGCUGGGUGUCCUCUAAUGCAGUCUGACACUGAAAAGUAGUGUCAGAUCCCACAUUGGAGGGCUCAGUCCCCAAGACUGUUCCCCCAACACCAGUUGUAAGUCCAGACCUCCAGAACUUCUGACCAACUGGCUUCAAGUUGGGGUUCCUGUGACUCCCUCUUCAGCUUCAAUUAAUUUGCUGAAGUUGUUCAGAGGGACUGAAAUUUACAAAGGUCAGAGAUGGUAGAGGAAAGAGUAUGGUAAGUGUGGUGUGCAAGCCCAUCUAGUGGGAGCACAGUUGAGGAGGGAACAGAAGGUGGAAGCCAGGUGGGAAAGGAAGUCUGGGGCCCUGUUGGGAGGACCUUGAAUGCUGUGUUGUUAUGAUAGACAGUUUUCCUCCAUGAUUCCUGGCUCAUAACUCCCAUAGCCCUUGUUACAGUCUUUUCUUGUAAUAUUGAGUGUGUUAGGCCACAGGAAACAGACUCUCUCCUUCUCCUGCCCUCCUUUCACCUGCCCCCAGGCAGGACUCUAAUCUUUCCUGGACUUUCCAAUGGUUGUUCUUAAGACCAUUCCCAGAGAGGUUCCCACCCUAUACCCCGGGGGAAGGAAUGCUGACGUUAAAAAGCUUUCAUAAAAACCCAAGAGGGCAGGGUUCAGGGAGCUUUUGGAUAACUGAACACAUCGAGGUUCCUGGAGGGUGGUGCCUGGGGGAGGGCUUGGAAGCCCUGUGCCCCUCCUCCCACACCUGAAUUGUUGUUUUUUCUUUUUCCCUUCAUGAAACUCUUCCCUGCUCCUUGUAUGUGCCUCCAUAGUCAUUAUAAGAUUUUAUGAUAAUUUUUACAUGUCUCCCCGCUCCUAAGUACCUUCCACAGUGUCUAGCAUGUCAUAGGGAGUGAUUGGUAAAUAGCUGAUAGAAAGAACAAAUUAAACUAUCAGCCUUGUGAA
rnacentral:antisense_RNA from 1 species